AGCGAACGCUGGCGGCAGGCCUAACACAUGCAAGUCGAACGAACCUUUCGGGGUUAGUGGCGGACGGGUGAGUAACACGUGGGAACGUGCCUUUAGGUUCGGAAUAAAUCAGGGAAACUUGUGCUAAUACCGAAUGUGCCCUUCGGGGGAAAGAUUAAUCGCCUUUAGAGCGGCCCGCGUCUGAUUAGCUAGUUGGUUGAGGUAAUGGCUCACCAAGGCGACGAUCAGUAGCUGGUCUGAGAGGAUGAUCAGCCACAUUGGGACUGAGACACGGCCCAAACUCCUACGGGAGGCAGCAGUGGGGAAUCUUGCGCAAUGGGCGAAAGCCUGACGCAGCCAUGCCGCGUGAAUGAUGAAGGUCUUAGGAUUGUAAAAUUCUUUCACCGGGGACGAUAAUGACGGUACCCGGAGAAGAAGCCCCGGCUAACUUCGUG
rnacentral:rRNA from 1 species